AGCUGCCGGCGGCUCGGAGGCCCAGAGCGCACCUCACUGCAUCCACUCAAUGGCGGCCCCGGGCCCUGGAGGUGUGUGAUGAGUGGCGGACUCCAUCCUAGCAGGGCACGCUGGGGGCCCAGGGGACAGUUGGACCUCGGAGGAGCCUUUUUCUGCCUCCCUCGGAAGGCCAGCCUCAGCUGGUAGUCUAGGCUGGUCCCACCUCUUACCUGCUGCUGCCACCACCGAGAGCCUUCGAUCCCUCCCUGAUGGCUCCCUCGCCCGAGGACCCAGGGCCUGACCUGGAGAGUGGACCACCUUUCCUGAGCAUCAACAUUCUGCCUGUGGCACAGGCUCCUCCCCGAGAUACCGUCUCCAGGCUCUCUCCUGCUGUGUGAUUUGCUCCGUGCUCCGUGGGAUAGAAUCUGCCGCAUGGAACCACUCGGGAUGACCCGCUGGCUGGGCCCCGGCUGUCUAGGAGGUGGGGGCUUGCUCUCUUCCAGCUCAGAACACUUGGCUGCUUUCUGUUCUGAGUGCCCAGUGUGAUGGGCUGAGCCGAGGCCAACAUGGUGUGUGUCUGCCCCUGGGCCUCAGGCCUCAGGCCUGGGCUGAGCUGCCACCUGCUGGCCCUGGGCCUGCCAGCCCCUGACUCGGGAGCCAACAUUCUGGGAUAAGGUGAGAGCUCAGCCCACCUAGAGAGGGGGUGUGUUAACCCCCGGGGGUGGCCAGCUGACAGCCUGUGGUGCACUGAGGGGACCCAGGGACUGGUGGGGGAAGGCUCACCCCUGCAUCUCAGGAAUGUUUUCUUCUCAGAUGUGUGGUUGGGCCUGGCACCUGGGCACGGUCAGAAGGUCAGGGGUCUCCUGAUGUGAAGGGGCUUCUGGGGUCUAUCCAGCUGGUGGGAGACCCCAGGAAGCGUGGUUUCAGGUUUGCUGGGCCCUCUGCUGAGCGGCAGCUCUGCCUCUGGCUGCCGGUGUGUGUGGGGGGCAGAGGGUUCCUCUGGCUCCUCCUUGGCAGACGUAGCAACUCUCAGGACCCUGACUCAGCUCUCCUGGGAGGAGGGGGAGGAGACCAGAAAGGGAGGGAUGCACGUGUCCAGGGGAUCCACGGGCGUGACAGUAGGUCUGCAUCUCAGUGGGGUGUGUGUACACGCGUGCAGGUGUGUGCCUGUGGUGUGUGCAUGUGUGUGCUCAUGCACGUGAACACCUGCUCCUCUGGGGGCCUUGCUGCUGGCUUGACAGCUGUUCCCCAGGGGAGAGCAGUGGUGGAGGUGAGCGUUUGCACGUGUGUGCACGCG
rnacentral:lncRNA from 1 species